rnacentral:rRNA from 1 species
CGGAGGUGGCAAGCGUUGUUCGGAAUUACUGGGCGUAAAGGGCGCGUAGGCGGCAAGGCAAGUCAGGUGUGAAAGCCCCGGGCUUAACCCGGGAAUUGCAUCUGAAACUGCUGUGCUUGAGUUCUGGAGGGGGUAGUGGAAUUCCCAGUGUAGCGGUGAAAUGCGUAGAUAUUGGGAGGAACACCUGCGGCGAAGGCGGCUACCUGGACAGAAACUGACGCUGAGGCGCGAAAGCUAGGGGAGCGAACGGGAUUAGAUACCCCGGUAGUCCUAGCUGUAAACGAUGGGCACUUGGUGUUGGGGGUAUUGAGUCCCCCAGUGCCGGAGUUAACACGUUAAGUGCCCCGCCUGGGGAGUACGGUCGCAAGACUG